CUUCAGCGAGCCCAGCCACAGGGGCUGCCGGGCCGGCCGCCCCUGGCCGUACGUCGCCAGCAGGGCCUGCGCCUC
rnacentral:antisense_RNA from 1 species